AUAAGUUACCAACCAUUAAUAUAAUUUAUCAUUUUAAAUUCAUUGUAAAAGCAUUUAAUAAUAUUAAUCUUGUGCAUAUAAGUAUAAAAAAAAGGUAUGAACAUGUGAUACAAAAAUAUAAUUAAAUAUUUUCAUAGUUACACUGUCAAAUUUGGAAAUAUCCAUAACAAGACAACAAUGAAGACCACAAAAUGGAUUUUUAAUACACAAAAUCAAGAGAGAAAAGUUGAAACAGGAGAAAAGUUCAAAAAAAUAAAACAAACCACUGUGAGAAAUGCUAAAGUAACAUUCAAGAUAUGCAGAAUAUCCCACUUACAAAUCAUUACAAUAAUCCAGUCAAAUCAUGGCAAUCCACAACCCCACCAAACAAAACCAUGACUGUAUCAGUUAACAUGAUGUCCCCUACUUUGAAAACAAUGCUUUCACCUUUUUUGAGAUUCCCAGUUAUUAAUAUUACUAUUAUUAUUAUUUUUUUUCACCUGUUUACAUAAUCUACCUUAUUGUAAUUGAAGCUGAAUUACCAUUGAAAAUCAUGGUAGUUGAACCACAAUAAUUCUUAACUUGAGCCUAUACUUGAAACUUUGUUUUGAACUUCUUUAAUAAAUGAAUAUUAUUAUUAGUAUUAUUACAAACUAAUAAGAAAAGGAAGAAAGAGAGACUAAAACUGUGGUGGCGCAAAUGUGCACACUUCUCCAAUUAUUGAGACUUUUCAUGUGUCAGUCUUGAUUGAAGCUGUUCACAUCAUAUCAUCUGUUCACAAAUGUGGAAAUGGGGUACCAAACAUUGCCCAACAAACAAAAUAAGUUAUUGUACCUUCUUCCCACAUCCCAAAAGUCACCAAAGCCAAGCAAGCAUACACCCCCAUGGACACAUAUCAACCAACCCCUUUAUCCACACCAGGCUUCAUAGGUCCUCUACCCCACC
rnacentral:lncRNA from 1 species